UACGUAGGGGGCAAGCGUUGUCCGGAAUCAUUGGGCGUAAAGCGCGUGUAGGCGGCUCGGUAAGUCCGCUCUGAAAGCCCGGGGCUCAACCCCGGGAGGCGGGUGGAUACUGCUGAGCUCGAGUCCGGAAGAGGAGUGUGGAAUUCCUGGUGUAGCGGUGAAAUGCGCAGAUAUCAGGAGGAACACCAAUGGCGAAGGCAGCACUCUGGGACGGUACUGACGCUGAGAGCGAAAGCGUGGGGAGCAAUCCGGG
rnacentral:rRNA from 1 species